CCGGCGCUGCGGCGUUGGCGCAGUCGUGGGAACAGCGCGGAGCAGCCUUCAGCCAUGCUUCUGCCACUGCCUCUGCAGGAAAGCCACCUGCUUUAAAAAAAAGUCUUCAUGGAGUGCUUAUGAGAGGGUCGGCUGUUUUCUCCAGCUCAUUUUUCCAAAGCAAACAAUCCCACCAGCUAUCUCAGGCAAGAAACACAUAAUCCAAAAACUUUAAUUAUUUAUGUUCAACUCUGUACUGGAAAGAAAGAGCAGGCAGGUUUUUUAAAAUAUAUUCUUUCUUUAAAAAGAGACCAAAACCUGUCAAAAAAAUACUACCGUGGAAAGCUCAUAAAUACUACAGUGUGAAGAACCCUGUGCUUAUCUUCAGUUUAUCAUCAGACAUCUUAGGGAAGUUUAAUAAAGAACACCAGGAGAAUUGAGAAUUAAAUGAAAAGGUAAAUCCUUUUAAAGACCUCAGAAGAUGGAUCUGUUUGUUUCAAUCUGCUUUUGAGGUUGUUUGCUAUGUCUUUGGCUGAUCUAACAAAAACAAAUAUAGAUGAGCAUUUCUUCGGCGUGGCAUUAGAAAACAAUAGGAGGUCUGCAGCAUGCAAGAGAAGCCCAGGCACAGGCGAUUUUUCACGGAACAGUAAUGCUUCCAAUAAGAGUGUUGAUUAUAGCAGAUCUCAGUGCUCCUGUGGAAGUUUAAGUUCU
rnacentral:lncRNA from 10 species